GCGAUUUUGCCAUGUUACUCAAGCUGGUCUCGAACUCCUGGGCUCAAGCGAUCCGCCCGCCUCUGCCUUCCAAAGUUCUGGGAUUACAGGCAUGAACCACCAUUUCCCACAAAUUCUACAUUUUGAAAAUGCUCUCUAGACUGGUAAUAACAACAACAAAGAUGGAUCUAAUCAUAAAGCUGAAAGUGGAGCUCUAAUAGAAGCUGCAAAAUCAAAGAUACAUCAGUACAAAGUACGAGCUUAUAUCCAAAUGAAGUCUCUGAAAGCAUGUAAAAGGGAAAUCAAGUCAGUCAUGAAUACAGCUGGAAAUUCCGCACCCUCUCUCUUUCUUAAAAGCAAUUUUGAGUACUUAAGAGGUAAUUAUCGAAAAGCCGUGAAGCUAUUAAAUAGUUCAAACAUUGCUGAGCAUCCAGGAUUCAUGAAAACAGGUGAAUGCUUGAGAUGCAUGUUCUGGAAUAACCUUGGUUGCAUCCAUUUUGCCAUGAGCAAGCACAAUUUGGGAAUAUUCUACUUUAAAAAGGCUCUGCAAGAGAAUGACAAUGUCUGUGCACAGCUCAGUGCAGGUAGCACUGAUCCAGGUAAAAAAUUUUCAGGAAGACCCAUGUGUACGUUACUAACCAAUAAGAGAUAUGAGUUGCUGUAUAACUGUGGAAUUCAGCUUCUUCACAUUGGAAGGCCUCUUGCUGCCUUCGAAUGUCUGAUUGAAGCUGUUCAGGUUU
rnacentral:lncRNA from 10 species